UAUAAGGGGAAGGGGGGGCUGAGUAGCUGCGCCACGAAAGCAUUGGAUAUUCGGCGGCGCGAGGCUCCGCAGGCCCGCUGAGAAGUCCGAGAGGAGUCCGAGGCAUUUGGAACCAGUCUGAGCCUGGGUGUCCCACUGUCUCUGAAUCAGCACCCUGGAGACCAAGGCUCUGGUACAUGUACCUUCAUGGGACAAACCACAUCCAAACACCAGGCCAGCAAAUUGAAGGAGGAAGAUCCACCCCCAAUGUGACUGACACCAACCAAUAGGCUUAUAGCCUUGGGUGGC